rnacentral:rRNA from 1 species
AGUGAACGCUGGCGGUAGGCCUAACACAUGCAAGUCGAACGGCAGCACAGGAGAGCUUGCUCUCUGGGUGGCGAGUGGCGGACGGGUGAGGAAUACAUCGGAAUCUACUCUGUCGUGGGGGAUAACGUAGGGAAACUUACGCUAAUACCGCAUACGACCUACGGGUGAAUGCAGGGGACCUUCGGGCCUUGCGCGAUUGAAUGAGCCGAUGUCGGAUUAGCUAGUUGGCGGGGUAAAGGCCCAACAAGGCGACGAUCCGUAGCUGGUCUGAGAGGAUGAUCAGCCACACUGGAACUGAGACACGGUCCAGACUCCUACGGGAGGCAGCAGUGGGGAAUAUUGGACAAUGGGCGCAAGCCUGAUCCAGCCAUACCGCGUGGGUGAAGAAGGCCUUCGGGUUGUAAAGCCCUUUUGUUGGGAAAGAAAUCCAGCUGGCUAAUACCCGGUUGGGAUGACGGUACCCAAAGAAUAAGCACCGGCUAACUUCGUGCCAGCCGCCGCUGUAA